rnacentral:rRNA from 1 species
GCUGUCGUCAGCUCGUGUUGUGAAAUGUUGGGUUAAGUCCCGCAACGAGCGCAACCCUUAUCCUUUGUUGCCAGCGGUCCGGCCGGGAACUCAAAGGAGACUGCCAGUGAUAAACUGGAGGAAGGUGGGGAUGACGUCAAGUCAUCAUGGCCCUUACGACCAGGGCUACACACGUGCUACAAUGGCGCAUACAAAGAGAAGCGACCUCGCGAGAGCAAGCGGACCUCAUAAAGUGCGUCGUAGUCCGGACUGGAGUCUGCAACUCGACUCCAUGAAGUCGGAAUCGCUAGUAAUCGUGGAUCAGAAUGCCACGGUGAAUACGUUCCCGGGCCUUGUACACACCGCCCGUCACACCAUGGGAGUGGGUUGCAAAAGAAGUAGGUAGCUUAACCUUCGGGAGGGCGCUUACCACUUUGUGAUUCAUGACUGGGGUGAAGUCGUAACAAGGUAACCGUAGGGGAACCUGCGGUUGGAUCACCUCCUUA